GGGAGGGGAGGGCGCGCAGGGCGGGCGCUGAUUGACUGGGCGCGCGGUCAGGUGACGCGGGGCGCCACGUUCCAGGAGCCCAGACCGCGGUGGCCGCCUGGGCCGGGGCCGAACCGGGGCCGAGAGGGGCCGAGAGGGGCCGCUCUCCCGGAACAAAGUUGCCGGGCCUGCGGCGGCGGGGCCGAGGCCGAGAGCCAAGCGGGAGCGGGAGCGCCGGGGGCGGCGCCGGCCCGGGAAGCGGUCCCGCUCGGCCGCCUCCUCCUGGAGAGAGCGAGCCCCGGGGUGCCCGGGCGCUAGUCCAUUUCCCGGAGGGGCGGCAGGGCGCCCCCGCUCGCUCCCGCGCCCCCUCCCUCUUCGGCCUCCUGCUCCGUUCUCCAACAAAGGGGCAGGCCCGCGGCGGCGGCGGCGGACCGGGGCGGGGGUGAGGCGGAGGAGGAGGAGCCGCCGGAGCGAGCGGCUCGCGCACAAAGUUGUGGAGUCGCCUUUCCUCGGAGGAGGGGAGCGGGCAGCCACAGCCGGCCGCGGGCUUUCUCCCGCCGAGGCCGAGGAGGAGCCUCCGGCUCCGAAGCCGAUUGGGGCACCACGGCUAGUGGUACCUCCUUUCGUUUGGGUCACUUCUGCAGACGGAAAACUCUCUAGUGUUUGGCAAACUUGGUUGCCUGCGCGCCCGUUCCAGGUUUGCACUUGGACUGUUUUGUUUUUGUUUUUUUGGCGGAACUACCGGAGCAGGAAGAUUGCACAAGUCGGGGGCGUUGUUUCAAUCGGGUGUCAAAAAAAAAUUUUUUUUUUUCUUUCGGAUUUGUCUGGUUCUUCGCAUUUCCUUUUUAAAACACAUCGCCCCACAGAACUCACGCUCGCACACUCCCCCGCGAUCACUCCGACCCAAACACGCCGGGAGGAGCCCUCGGCCCGCUGGGGACGCGGCGGAGGCUGGCAGGCGACGCGGGCCCGCGGGUCCAGGAAGCAGGGAUUGAUGUCGACCUGGAUCAUUAUAGAAAACUGGAAGUCUUAA
rnacentral:lncRNA from 1 species